rnacentral:lncRNA from 1 species
CUACCCUUCGAAAGUCCAACUUGUCACAAGGACGAGUGGUCUUGAUAUUACGACGAAGUAGCCAUACCUUAUCACCCAGGAGGAAUGGUGGUUGAUCCUUUCAAUAGACAUCCGCUGUCGUAUGGCGUGAUUUGCUAUCUGGGAAUACACUGGGUAUCUAACUAUAGAGAGUGUACCUUAAACCUUUAUAUUAUUCUUUUUUUGGCUUCCAAAAUUCCUUUAUUUUUAUAUAAAACUCCAAAUAUAACAAAAUCCCUUCAAAACAUAUUUUUCCCGCGAAGGGUUUUCUCGCCCCGAAUUUUACAAAAUCAUAACUAUUGAUCUAACUGUUCAAUUUGUUUCAAAUUUACAAGAUAGGUAGAAUUUAUCCUUAACUUU